rnacentral:rRNA from 1 species
UACGGGGGGGGCAAGCGUUGUUCGGAAUUACUGGGCGUAAAGGGCUCGUAGGCGGCCAACUAAGUCGGACGUGAAAUCCCUCGGCUUAACCGGGGAACUGCGUCCGAUACUGGAUGGCUUGAGUUUGGGAGAGGGAUGCGGAAUUCCAGGUGUAGCGGUGAAAUGCGCAGAUAUCGGGAGGAACACCGGUGGCGAAGGCGGUUCUCUGGGCCUUACCUGACGCUGAGGAGCGAAAGCGUGGGGAGCGAACAGG